GCCCUGUCUAAGAGGUGAAGAAGUUCUGGAGGACAUCGGAGCCCUGGGCCCAGUGCUCAUAUCGCCUUAAUCAUAUCUUGAAGCCUUAAUUUUCUCAUCUGUGAAAUGGAACAGGAGAAGGUUCUCCAGCCAGGAAAUGACCACAGGGCCUCUCAAUCAAGAGCUUACCUAUAUGACUAGUCUCACUAGCCAGAUUGCUGUAUCUGAAUAUUCUCCAUCUCCAGCUUCUGAAACUAGAAUUCCAGGAGGAUCACCAUACCCACCCAACAUGCUUGGGUUCUGAGAAUCCUAACUCAUAUUUUUAUGCUUAGGAGUACUUUAGGCACCGAGUCAUCUCCCCAUACAAGAUCAAGUUCUACUUGGUUGUUUGGCAGAUGAACAUCUGACAUUUGGAAAUCACUUAACCAAGUCUACAUACAUAGAAAAUCGUGGGUCUUGGUUAUCAUGGAUUGCAGUCCUAUACCUUAUAAUUUCUUUUUAAAGAAAGAAUAGAAACAGACAGAGUAAGACUGUUAUCCUAAAUAUAAUAACAGUGAGUAUGAGAUCCUGUAUUUGGUCACCAUUCAAUAACCACAAUACAGAACCAGUAAACAGUUCUUUUUAUUGUACAAAUGAUAUAUUAACUCUUUUAGUAGUAAUUUAUUUACUUUUAGGUUUUUAAUUUACAAAUUACAAUUAUAUAUGUAAAGAGCACAAUGCAAUGUUU